rnacentral:rRNA from 1 species
ACAGCAGUAGCCACGGGAAUACAGAGGGUGCGAGCGUUAAUCGGAUUUACUGGGCGUAAAGCGUGCGUAGGCGGCUAAUUGAGUCGGAUGUGAAAUCCCCGAGCUUAACUUGGGAAUUGCAUUCGAUACUGGUUAGCUAGAGUGUGGGAGAGGAUGGUAGAAUUCCAGGUGUAGCGGUGAAAUGCGUAGAGAUCUGGAGGAAUACCGAUGGCGAAGGCAGCCAUCUGGCCUAACACUGACGCUGAGGUACGAAAGCAUGGGGAGCAAACAGGAUUAGAUACCCGUGUAGUCCCUGUCUCUUAUAC